GAGCACAGCCCAGGGACAGCGCAGCCGCUUGGGCAGUGGCUUCUUCCAGGGACUCAGGCCAAAGCCAUCCCUGAGCAGCCACAGCCACCCCUGACCCUCCCUUCUCUGUGACAGCUCACCCAGCCCAAGGGGACAGAGCCAGGCCCUGUCAGGAGCCAGUGCAGGCCGUGCCCAGUUGGGAGCCAGGGCUGGCUGUGGCCCUGGGCUCAUGGCAGGGCUCAUGCGUGGAGCUGCUCCUGUGCCUUGGGCCUCUGGGCACUCAGGGCCAGCUCUGGGAGCAGCUGCAGAGGGAGUGAUGUUGGUGCAUGAGUCCCAUUUCCCAAGGGCUGGGAAUGAGCUCCAGAGGCCUCGGAGCUGAGGCACCUCCAGCUUUGGCUGCCGCCGCACUGUGCAAGGGCCAGCCCUGGGGGGAGAGCUGCUGGCACACAGCCCCGCCGAGGGCUGAGCCCAGCACAGCAAUUACCUCCUGUGUCUGGGCCUGUGCCUGGCAUCGCCUUCUUUCAUGCAGCAGAGUCUGGCACAGAAUCUCUGCUUCCUUCAGGAAUGGUUUCCUGCUGCACAGGCUCUCGUUUCAUUCCUGGAGAAUGGAAGAGGGAGAGCUGGAUCAGAUGGGGCUGUUCCUCAUUGUGGAGGUGCCAUCUUCAGGAGGCAAUAUUUGUGAAAGGCGUGGAUAAGGAUCAGCAAACAUGCAGGAUUUCAGGAUUGUCCCAGGCCUCCCACUGAGCCAAGCCAAGGACUUCUCCUUGCAGCAGAACUUUAUCCCAGCAGAACUGGUCUAAAGGAGUGACAAAGACCUGAGGGAUGGCUUUGGAAAGGCUUUAGCCGACUGCCUAUCAAUGGCACAGCUUCCAGUGUGCAGAGAAAACACCCUGGUAGUGCCUUGAAGAAGAAGGUCUUGAGGAAGCAGGACAAUGUGCCCGUACUGCCCAAUAUGCCCAUCAUCCAUGGGGAUGGCAGCUUCCCACAAAAUUCCUCAGGUAAGCCUGCUCCGAGGCAGCUUCUUCCCACACAGGUUUUUCCUGCCCCAAGAAGCCCAAACUGCCACCUGCCUCACCCAGCAGGGUCCCUAGCCUGUCCUGAGAAUGAACAGCAAAUGUACUUUUGAGUCACUCCAGCUCUGCAGUAGUGGAGCAGCUGGUUCUUAGAGAUCCAUUGGAAAGUGGAGCUGAAUAAAGUAGUGGUGAAGGCCUAAGCUCUGGCUUUUGCCCCACCUGAUAGUCCAAACUACAGCACUGGUGCCAGGAGGCAGCUGUAACUGCAGGGAUGUGGUGUGGGGCAGUGUGCCAGGGUGUGCUCACUGGGCACCCACGAGUACCACCACGAUCAGUUGUCCACUCACCAUCUCGGCCCUCUGCCCGUGCUGCUGUCCGGCUCUGCAGCCAGCUUUCUGCUA